UUGACAGGGGUGGGACCUUGAGAGACAGAGAGAGAGAGAAAAGAGGGAGACCAAGUCAGUGAUGCUGCUCGUGUGAAGGAUGCGUCCGUCCGUUGUGGACGGGUAUUGCCGAACGCUUGGGAAAUAAUAUCACGUCUGGGGCUCCCUCGAGCGUGUCUCCCUGUAAUGUGCGGCGACUGCUACUUGAACAAGAAGAGAAAAGGCGCGCGGGAAGUUCUCCUUCUGCCCGACACCGAGCACAAGGCACGGGGCGGAGGGGGUGGGAGGGAGAGAAAUCUUCGACGACCCUUCGACAUACCUGCACACAUUCCUUUCAUUGCCCGUGCGAGCGGGAGCGUGUGCAUGCGUGCGCGUGAACGUGUACAUUUGUGGCGUCUGUUCUUGCUUUCCUUCCGUUGGAUUUUAAGGUAUUUCUCUGGGUUAAGUUACUAAUUUCCGCGCGCCUCCAGUGCAGUCCUAUUGCGAGCGUGGAUUACCGAUCGCAGAAGUGCUUUGGCUGGUGUGGGUCUUAGUAACGAGAAGAGGUGAAGGACCCUAUGCCUAGCUACAAGUCUAGGUUCUGUAUUCCAAGCUUAAUAUGUAUUGAAUUACAUCUGAGUCAAUGCCAGGGCUACAAGACUACAUGCUAAGAUUAUGGACACCACAGAAGGGCCUCCUUAGAAGACAUCACUACCUCUGCCAUUUUUUAAAGGAAAAGGAAAAUAGUUUUAAUUCCAGGAUCUGAGAACUAGAAGAACAAGAGGAAGGAGGAAAGAAGGAUGACAACUACAAAUAUGCCAUGAUUUUUCUGAGCAACUACAAUUAUUUAUAUUAAUGCUUUCCUUCAUAUUUAUAGGCCUCUCCAAGUGGUUUACAGAGUCAACAUAUUACCCUCAACAAUCUGGGUCCUCAUUUUACCCACCUUGGAAGGAUGGAAGGCUGAGUCAACCUUGAGCUUGGUGAAAUUUGAACUGCCAAAUUACAGUUACCUGGAAAGGAUCUUGGAAGGCUUCUAAUCCAACCCCCUGCUCAGCAGGAGACCCUAUACAAUUGGUGUCAAACUUGCGGUGUCACUUUGCCAUCAGGUGACAUUUUGUGAUGUUUUUUCCCUUUGUGGAGCUGGGAUGGUCAUAGCCUGUGUAUGAUGAAUCCAGCCCAUGGUCCCCCAAUUUGACACCCCUCCAGCCUAUACCAUUCCAGACCAAUGGCUGUCCUUCUCCAGUGAUGGAGCACCCACAACUUCCGGAGGGAGAAAUACGCAAGACUAAAGUAACCAUUCGGACAAAUUCCUCAAACCCAGCCGUGGAUAUAUAAUUUGCUACUUGGCAAACUGCCAACAGGUCCACUUGAAUCCUGGGUGGCAGGAACAGAGGGUUCACACACAUCAAGUACAGAACAGAUGCUCAUGCUUUGUAACUUUCUAUUCUCAUAUGUUGAAGCGUGUCUGUUCUGUUAAGCCUCUUCUAGCUCAGCCAGAAGCUAUUCAAAAACCUGCUAUUUUCAGCUGUCCUCAAAUGACUUACUGGUGUGGACUCUUCUUGUCAGCAGCUUGAUUAGAGGUCCCAGCAGUUGCUGAUCUCACUGAUACAGGAUUUCUGGGAAGCAGCUAACUUUGGGCUAUUUCACACAGAAGCAUUUUCCCUACGCUGCCCCUCUCCAUUCCCAGUUGUUGCCCUCAGAAUGCAGUGAGCACACUCCGGUCAACAGCAGCCAAUCAGCUCUCUCCUCCAGCCAAUCCUUUUUUGGUUCUCUCAUCUUCAUCUUUUAGUUCUCCCACCACACUUCUGAAAAAAAAUCACUACUAGAGCUCCACGUACCUUCCCUAAUCCAAAUUUUCAGUACAUUUUCUUUGAGAAAUUGUAAACUGAUGACAGGGGUGGUAUUCAUUUACCUUCCCUACCGGUUCGCAAAUGUGUGCGCCUUCUGCGCAUGCGCAGAGCCUCAAAAACAUGGAAAAAUGGAACGUCAUGACGUCUGCAUGGGUGGGCAGGGCAUCCCGCAGUCGCUCCUUCUGGUUCACCCGAACCGGAUAGAACUGGCUGAAUACCACCACUGAUUGGUGAGAUGGCAAGUCCAAGAGAACCGUGCAAGGCAUAGUUUCUAUCCUUCCUCCCGUUUAAUAUGUUGGCUUAUUUCUCUGGUGGCUUUGUAGGAGAGGAAACUCCUUGAGAGUCAUGCCGUUUCUCAUUAUUACAGCAGCUGUGAAUUGUGAUGAUGUGACUGCCUUUGGAGCUGUGCUUUAUUGGUCUCACUACCUUUCCUCUUCCAUGACCAACCCGGAAAGCCUCAUUAAGAGAGAGGAGCAGCCUGAAUUUUGCAUUAAAGGAUUGUGAGAACAUAAAACGUACAUACAGUAAUCCAGCAAUUAUUGAAUACUGUUUCUCUUCAUGGCCUACCAGAAGCUCAUGUACUUUUACAUUCUACUUGUACUGUCAUUCUUAGCAAAAAGUAUUGCUGCCGUCAAUGCCAGGCAGGAACACUUCUCUGAAUCUGUAAGUUAGUAGCCAACAUAACUGCUUCUUCUGAAAGUCUUAUGUCACGUGUCCAUGUAUUAGACAAUGACUCUGAAGAAGAGCCUCCAAAAGAAUCUAUGGAGUAUCAGCCUCAGAAGACACAAGGCUAGGAAUCACCUUGAGGCUGAUCAAACACAGGCACCCCCUGAGCAGCUGGAGCAGUCAGAUCAGUGGUGGGUUGCCCCCAGUUUGGACUGGUUCUAUAGAACUGGUCGUAAAACUGGCGGGAGGCUCCACCCACUGACCUGAACAUAAUCAAAAGUCAUCACGCGGGUAUGAUGUGAACCGAUAGUAAAGGUAAGUAGAACCCACCCCUGAGUCAGAUGGUGAUGAUGUAAGGCCACCCAGUCCCUGCACUGGGCGAGUAGUGUAAAGCAAAGAGCAAAGAUCAGCAAGGAAGUGCACUAAAGUCUAAUUAAAGGCAAUAGGCUGCAGACUGAUUUAGGAAGCACUCCUGCCCCAUGAGCCCUUGUUGGAAAAAACCAUUUGAUCUCCAAGUCUUGUAUGAUGCUCAUGUGGAUUCUGCUCAUGAAAUUCUGACUUCUGGGUGGUUAACAGCGCUGACCUUGAUCUUGGAACUCUGGAGUAGAUUUUGACAAUUCUUCUGCACACACUGUUAAAAACAAAAUCACCCAGGCAAGUUUCUUUCAGAAAUUGUGUUUUGAUUUGUAUUACUUGUCUGUUGUUGUCUUCUUGACCUUGAACAAACUACUAAUUUCCAUAGCAACUGUGAGAGUGAAUGUGUAUUGGAAACCAGAGGAGGAUAUCUUGAGCCCUUCAUUAUUCAUCCUGAUUAGAUAAGCCUGAGUUCAAUUAUUAGAGACCGGGAAUACCUUACUGGUGAUCAUUUUAUAAAGCUUUUAUAAUCCUCUAUCAUGUAUGCCUUUCUGAUUUCUUCUAUGAAAUAAAAAGUAGCGAAUCUGACCUUUUCUUAUUGCUCCAAACCCCAUAUCCUUUUUUACUGUCCUUCCCUAUACCCUUGGAGACUCUAGAACUACACAUAAUACUUCAGAGUGUUAUUCUUUAGGUCUGUAAAGAGCCCAUAGAAUAAUAGCAUAUUUAUCUUCUUCUUUCUUCAUAGCUCUUCUUUGGCUCUUUCACAGUUGUUGUGCACAAGAUUGACAUUUGAAGUGAGACAUCCACUACAACUUCAAGGAUUUUUUCCCGGUUUAUUUAUUUAUUUAUUUAUUUGUUCGUACUUUUAUACCGCCCUAUCUCCCUAGGGACUCAUUACUCAUGACCAGUUCAUGAAUCAAAAUGUGAUGUUAGAAUUCAGUGCCUUGUUAUCUAAGUACAGUUUCUGUUAUAAAAGAGCUGAAAUGAAACCAUAGUUUAAAAAGAAAAUGAUAGAUUUAUUGUACAAAAUCAUAAUGCUAUAAAGCAAUUACUGGUAAUUCCGUCCUAAAUUACCAUCAAAGCCUUGUUUCCUUCUAUAAGCUUUUUUUGAAAUGGACUCUACCCUACUUGGGAUGUGAUAGAUGAGUCCUGUAGAGGUCUUUGCCUUCAUCCUUCUUUGACUCGCUGAUUUAUGGAAUUUUAUUGACAACAGCUCUAGCGGAAACCAUUUCUCCUCACCCUCUCCAUCAAAGAUAACAUGUCAUAGACACUGAUACUGAACACAGACAGUUCAGAGGGGUUGAUGGAGGAAAUUAGGCAUCAGUAAACCAUGAAAUACGUGUGACUGGCGUGUCUACGGUAGAGCAGCUUAGGAGGGGCUGCAGUGUCAUUCUAUAAGAAUACAGAUCACUGCUCACUUGAGAGACAUAAGAGCAUUUUCUGCUCUUAACUACCAUUCAUGGAGGAUUAACAUAUUUUUGUCAGUCAGAAUUACCCUGGCUCCUUGUCCACGUAGCACAUGGAGGCUGUUGACUGUUAUGCAUGAGAUGUACAAUCCAUACCCCAUGUUAGGAAGAAGUGACUUUCAGCACCAUAGAUCAAAAUUUUAUCAAGUCAAUCCCAGAGAAUCAGACAAAAUCUGUUUGAUCAUAAUCUAGCCAUGCAGUCCAUGGGAUAUUCUAUAAAGUCACCAAUCAAGGACUUUACCAGGAAACAAAUUGCUUGAUUUUGAAGCAUUUAAAAGUAGCCCCCUGGUGAAAGAGGCAGCAAAUUUAAUCAUAAUAAUUAAUAAUAAUGUCAUCACUUAGCAUAACUUCCCAGCAAUAUCUCAAAUAUUUCUUAAUGUUGACCAUACUAUUUGAGCCAUAUAGUGUGAUUUUUAUUGCCGUAUUUAAAUCAGAUUUAAUUUAAUCGAAUCGCAUUUUAUUAAAGUUUUGGUUCAUUGCCUGAAGUUUCAACUUUGAUAUUUCUAUUUUGUUUUAUCUUUACAGCCUCACUUUUUUUGGUUUGGACCUUAUUUAUUUAUUUUGGGCACUUUUCUUUUUUUAAUCUGAGCACUACUGAGUUUGUAGUAUUAUCUCAGUUCUGAGCCUGGUCUGGGAAUUGCUUAAUCUCCAACGUCUUUCUCCUGAUUCUUGGAUAGUUUUGUUCUGGUGCUUUACGCUGUUUUAAGUGACAAGGUCAUUUUCAUUGCUUGCCUAAAGGAAUCUCUUUAUAUCAUGAAAAAAAACCAACAACCCUACAGUGCAAAAAGGUACAUUCAGCAAUAUCAUUGAGGAAUUCUCUAGAAUUUGCUAGUUUUACAUUUAUAACCCAAAGGAAAGAGACAUGUAACAGUGCCAUGAGAUGUCCUUGUUUCUCUUACUCAGGGAAAAGUUAUUAGGACUAUCAUUUGUGCCAUCAAAACUUUCCUCUGACAUACAACAAUCUCUACUGUACUAUUUCCCCUGCAAAUAGUUUCAUGGGGUGGGGGGUGUCACUCUCUGUAAUAGUAUAUUAAAAAUGGUCCUGACAAUCUUGAAAUAUCCAAUGCAUGUCUGUUUUUGACAAUAUUUAUAAUCCAAAUAAAUUAUAGCUUUAGAUUGGAAUGAUACAUGAUUGUUCACCAUUUAGUUGAAGCUAUUUGCAGUUCUGUAGAAGCACAGGGUAUAAAUCUUAUUUUGAAAUUAUUUUGACUAUGUUUCUAUUUAAAAUGUAGAUUUUUAUAAUACUACAGAAAAAGUGAAGCCGACUGUCCUGCAGUAGCUUUUUAUUGACAUCUCCUGAUUAGGAUUUCUGUUUGGAGAAUGUGUCUAUCUGCUUGGAUUUAUUUCUCAGGUGUUCUUUAGUCAUUAUUUCUUAGAAGAUUGCCUAGGAAAGUUUCGUAUAAAGAUUAGGUUAAUUAAAAAUAAAAGCUUUUAUUUAAGUAAAACAGCUUAGCUUUCUGCCUUCUUCCUUUUGCAAAGUUGUACCACUUAUAUUUGCCGGGCUUUCAACUGUAUUCCAGCAUCCAUCCAUUUAGGCUAGUCUGAUUGACAUGGACAGCAGAAAAUGUUCAAUAUCUGAGUUAGAACGUUACUCCUGUACUGGUACUUGAUACUUCUUAUUCUUCCUCACCUAAUAGAGUAUUGGAAAGAAAUGGCGUAAAGGAACUUAGAGCCCUGUCCAUCCACAGGAUAAUUCUUUAAAAACAAAACAGAAUUGGGUAUGAGAGUAAAAGGUAAAGGUUUCCCUGUCCAGUCCCAUCCGACUAUAGGGUGCGGUACUCAUUUCUGUUUCUUGGCCAAGGGAGCCAGCAUUGUCCAAAGACAUUUUCCGUGGUCAUGUGGCCAGCAUGGCUAUACACCAAAGGGACAUGGAACUUCGUUACCUUCCUACCAAAGUGAUACCUAUUAAUCUACUCACGUUUGCAUGCUUUCAAACUGCUAGGUAGGCAGGCUCACCCUGUUGCGCAGCACUCAGGUCUCAAACCCAGACACUCAGCUUUCCAGCUGACAAGCUCAGAUGCUUUUUAACCACUGAGCCCUAUGCGGCUCAUAUGAGGCUCAUAUUAUUUAAUAGAAGGAGGAAUUCUGGUAUUUCGUUUACGAGGCUUCGUGAAUUAAGUAGUUUGCAUUUAAGGUCUGUGGCGGUGGAUUUUGAGGAAGUUAGGGGCAUGCAUGUCUAGUGGUUGUUGUUGGGAUGGUGGUUAUUGGGGUGAGGACCAUAGUUCUUACUUUUAAUAAAGUCAGCACGGUAAUCAAUGUAUACGUUCAUUUCUCCCCGGUUUUGGCGUGUUUUGAGUUCAGCACGUAGUUUACGGGAGCGGAUUCUUUGAAGUGUAGAUAGGUCAGGCCUUGAGCAAAGUUUGUUAUAGUUUGAGUUGCUUCUUAUAAUCGAGUUGAUGGGAUGAAUGAAUUUCCUUUUGCUGGUCUCGUUUUUGCAUAUUACUCUGCAGAAACAUGGAGC